GAUGAACGCUGGCGGCGUGCCUAAUACAUGCAAGUCGAGCGAACAGACGAGGAGCUUGCUCCUUCGACGUUAGCGGCGGACGGGUGAGUAACACGUAGGAACCCACCUAUAAGGACGGGGUAACCUCCGGAAAACGGAGGCUAAUACCGGUAAUAAUUCGAACCGCCUGGUUUGAUUGUGAAAGAUGGCUUUGCCAUCACUUAUUGAUUGACCUGCGCCGUAUUAGCUAGUUGGUAAGGUAACGGCUUACCAAGGCAACGAUACGUAGCCGACCUGAGAGGGUGAUCGGCCACACUGGAACUGAGACACGGUCCAGACUCCUACGGGAGGCAGCAGUAGGGAAUCUUCCGCAAUGGGCGAAAGCCUGACGGAGCAACGCCGCGUGAGUGAUGAAGGUCUUCGGAUCGUAAAACUCUGUUAUUAGGGAAGAACAAACGUGUAAGUAACUGUGCACGUCUUGACGGUACCUAAUCAGAAAGCCACGGCUAACUACGUG
rnacentral:rRNA from 1 species